rnacentral:lncRNA from 1 species
CGCAUGACUAAUUUAGAUAUUAACCACCCAAAACAAGUCCAAAUAAAGUCAACGUCCACAAUAAACGGGAGUCCACCGAGUUCCGUCUUCGCUCCGUCAAAUCCCUUUCAUCCUCUUUUCUCCCCUAAAUUUCUUUACCUUCUCUUUCUCACCGUCGUCUUCCCCCAAAUCGAAAUCUCCGACGCCACCAAUUUUCACCUAGGAUCUGCCGGCAAUUCCCUUCCUCCGGCAGCGAGAGAGCGAGAGAGGGCUCCUCUUCUCACCCAUCCUUUUCCCCUAUCUUCACGAUUCCAUGAUCGCCCUCUCCCUCUCCUCCGCCGUCGCCGUCGCCGCCGCACCCCUCUCAUUUGAUGCAAACUUUGCGGCAUCGCGAACGGGUCAGCUCUGAAUCCGUUGAAUCCGAAACAAAAAUGGAUUCCGUCAAAUACCUAUCUCGAUCAGCUAAUCAUUUCCCUUACCACCCGAUCCCCCGACCCGCGAACCGAUCCAAAUCCAACCUCGUCGUUUUCGGGCUCGUUCUGAGCUUAAUUGCUUUGCUCUCCUGUUAUUAUCUAUUCAGCACGGGGAAGGUCGUGGAUUGGAAUAAGAAGUACGGAGUCUUCAUCGACGGAGGUAGUACUGGUACUCGGAUCCAUGUUUUCUCUUAUACGGUGGAGAAUGGGAGUCCGGUGUUUGAAUUCGGAGACAAGGAUACGGCGAUGAGGGUCAGUCCGGGGUUGUCGGCAUAUUCCGAUGAUCCGGAAUCCGGAGGGGAUUCGCUGAUCGAGCUGAUUGAGUUUGCGAAGGAGAGAGUUCCGAGGGAGAUGUGGAGGGAGACCGAAAUUCGGUUGAUGGCUACUGCUGGGAUGAGGCUGGUGGAAGGUGAUGUUCAAGGGAAGGUUAUGGAAGGGUGUAGGAACGUUUUGAGGGAGUCUGGGUUCUUGUUUAGGGAUGCGAUACUCACCUGGGGUCUUCCCCAAAUUCCCUUCCUCCGGCAGCUCGAGAGCGAGAGAGGGCUCCUCAUCCCACCCUUCAUUUUCCCCUUAUCUUCCCAAUUCCAUGUUCGCCCUCUCCCUCUCCUCCGCCGCCGUCGCCGCCGCACCCCUCUCAUUUGAUGCAAACUUUGCGGCAUCGCGAACGGGUCAGCUCUGAAUCCGUUGAAUCCGAAACAAAAAUGGAUUCCGUCAAAUACCUAUCUCGAUCAGCUAAUCAUUUCCCUUACCACCCGAUCCCCCGACCCGCGAACCGAUCCAAAUCCAACCUCGUCGUUUUCGGGCUCGUUCUGAGCUUAAUUGCUUUGCUCUCCUGUUAUUAUCUAUUCAGCACGGGGAAGGUCGUGGAUUGGAAUAAGAAGUACGGAGUCUUCAUCGACGGAGGUAGUACUGGUACUCGGAUCCAUGUUUUCUCUUAUACGGUGGAGAAUGGGAGUCCGGUGUUUGAAUUCGGAGACAAGGAUACGGCGAUGAGGGUCAGUCCGGGGUUGUCGGCAUAUUCCGAUGAUCCGGAAUCCGGAGGGGAUUCGCUGAUCGAGCUGAUUGAGUUUGCGAAGGAGAGAGUUCCGAGGGAGAUGUGGAGGGAGACCGAAAUUCGGUUGAUGGCUACUGCUGGGAUGAGGCUGGUGGAAGGUGAUGUUCAAGGGAAGGUUAUGGAAGGGUG